UUGCAGAGGAAGUUUCUCUGGCAGUCAGCCUGCUCCCUCUACUUGUCUCUGUUGGUGGAGACCGAACACAAAGUGCAGUGACUCAGAAGCCUUUGAGAGGGUGACUGGGGGCCUGGCCACCGCAAGGCACAGAGGCAGUGAGAUGGAUCGACCCAAAACGACAGUGUGCUGGGGAAAGAAGAAAUCAAGGCAGAAGGAAGAAGAAAAUGAACUCCAAGAAAUUCUGCCCAGUGAGCCUCAACAGCCCAAAGACCGUUUUUCAAAAUUCAGUGGGUGGCUUAUGAAAGUCCCCAGGAAAAGAAAACCAGACACUGCUAUUCAUCAGAAAGAAACUCCCAAAGACUUCCAAAAGUUGGUACAGAAGGGGCAGUUCCUGGAAGCCUGCCAGAGCAUCUCGGAGUUGUCACAGGAAGGGCAGGACUGUGGUCUCCAGUACAAGGUUGUGGCUGAGAGCAUGUGGCAGGUCAUCAAGGAGGCUCUGGGAGGCAUUGGGUACAGCCAGAAGCUGGAGCUAAAGCUCCAGGCAGUGGUGGCCACUGUGGAGUGGGUGGAGGACAACCCCCAGAGCUGGGAGGCCAGCGCCCUCGAGGAUGGUGGAGUUGCUUUCUGGGGAAGUCAUCUGGAGAGGCUCCUGAGAACAGAUGCUGAGGACCAAUUGCCCACUAUGAAGCCAAGCACCCAGCUGCGCCCGUACCUGAAGGAGCUGGACAAAGCUGUGGGACACAGCCUAGGGUCCCAGAGGGCAGGCCGGAUGGGGGACCCCCUCUGGGAAAUCUACAGGACGUGUUUCCAGGAGGUCCUCCUCAGCCGCCUCUCCGAGCUCCCUUCCUCCUACAGUCACGACAGGGAAGCCUACUUUGAGCUGUACAACUGGGGCAAGACGACCUUGUUUGGGCAGCUGGGCAGGGAGAUGCUUCAGAGAGUAGGUCCCACCUCCCAGAAGUCCAUGGCCGGGAACCUCUUGGACUCAAUGAUGUUCAUUACCUGGAUGUUCCAAAUGCAGGAGAAGCUGGUGGGGCUGAUCCAGGAGCUGGUCUCAGCUGUGGGGUGUCCAAGUGGUCAAUUCAGACAAGCAGCCAGAAAGAAGUAACAGUGCAGACUUUCGCGUCUUACUGAGGUGCUACCAGCAGGCACCCGCUCCCCUGUUGCACCCCCCUAGGACCGC
rnacentral:lncRNA from 1 species